UUAACUUAUUCUAUUUUUUUAACAGAACUUGCAGACAAAUUCAAUAUAAAGAUGCUGGAAUAUGAGUUUAAAGAAAUAAUAAUAUAAACCUGUCGCUAUCACAUAAAUAUGAUCAUAACUCGGUUGGUCCCUUUCACUUUACACUGUUAAGGUAGCGUCAGUGCUUCGUUAUCCAAUCCGUUCCAGUUGUUCACAGGGAACAUCACAUUACUGAAAAUCCAGUCCUCGUUUUCACUGCUACUUUACACUCCGCUCGUCUACACCUGCGGACACACUAGCGUACAUGCUGCAAACAGCAAGAAAACAUGGAUAUACGUAAAAAAGAGUCAGACCAGAGGAGCACAGAGAGUGAGAGGGGAGAGACCUCUGCUGGAGAGGGUGAGGCAGAAGGAGAGGCUGAGGGAGAAAAAGGUCAACAGGCAAGUUCAAGUCAGAGAGAGCAAGGAGAGACAGAGGAGCUGCAGCAAAUGGAUCGAGAGGCAGAGGAAGAUCAAGUUAUUACAGAGAGAGGAGAGCAAACAGGCCAAGAGAGGGAAAAUGAUGAAGCAGCUGCAGCAACUCAUUCUACUACAGGGUUUGAUUUAGGUACAGGUGAAGCUGAAGAGCUAUCCACAUGAUACUUUUGGUACACAGAAGCGAGCAUUUAACCACAGCUGGUUUGAAAAGCACAACUGGUUAGAAUAUUCAGUCAACCAGAAUGCAGCUUUCUGCUUCCCAUGUAGAGUGUUUGGCAAAAACAUCAAACAUGAUAGUUUGGUCAGUGAUGAAGGUGAAGACAGCCCAAACAGAGCUUUUACGUGCGGAGCUUUUAAAGGAGUUUGAUCCUUUUCUUCAAAAACAUAAUCCCCCAUCAAAUGCACAGUAUUUCUUGCCAACAUCCCAGAAUGACACGAUUGACUGUUGUGCCCAGGAAGUUGCUCAUGUCAUUGUAUCUGAAAUGACAAAGUCUAAAGUAUAUGCCAUCAUGGCAGAUCAGGAAAGGAAUGAAAAGGCAGAGCAGUUAGCUGUUUGUGUCAGGUACGUGUCAGAGGGGCAGUGAAGGUUGCCUUGCACUUGCAGAGAUAAAAUCAUUUGAUGCCCAGUCCAUUGCAAAUGAGAUUCAGCAGCAGAUCCAAAACAAUGGUCUUGCAGAGCUUAAGUGUGUUUGUGCACAAACAUAUGAUGGUGCAGCCGUUAUGAGUGGUUCCACUGGAAGUGUACAAGCACAUUUUAGAAGGCUCCAUCCUGAGGCUGUCUAUGUGCAUUUUUAUACUCAUCAGCUCAACCUGGUUUUGUGCAAUACUUGCAAGGCUGUCCCAGAGGCUGUGGAGCUUUUCAGCUUGUUGGAGUGUGUGUAUUCUUUCUUCAGCACCUCCCUAGUCAAUCAUCAUAAGUUCAUGGAGACUCAGGCAAAGCUUGGAUUGACAAAAACUGAGCUUGUGCACCUUUCAAACACUCACUGGCCAUGUCAGUUGCAAUCAAUCAGUGCAGUUCUUGCGACAUUGCCUGUCAUUUUGGAGUGCCUAUCUGCAAUUGGAUCCCCCAUAGCUGUCGGUCUCAGAGCAAAGCUCUACAAGUUCUCAGCAGUCUAUGCACUACUGAUGUUUCAGUUGAUUCUUUCUGUAACCAAAGGACUCCACAAGUUCCUGCAGAAAGAGACUUUAGACCUAGCAGAAGCUUUUAUCUGCAAACAAGCUGUGUGUGACACACUUAAGGGCAAACACUCAGAUGCAUUUGGCUGCGUCAAACAAUGGGUCAGAAAAGACUUCACAGACUUGCAGUCAUGUCUAUUGAAAAAGACACUCUACAGCGUCUGAGUCACAACAUAGUGAUUGACCGAGUUGCCACUCUUAAAAACAGACGUCAUUCUUUGAUGCUUCCACCCACCAAGUAACUGGUGUAUGCAGCCAUAAAAAUUAUGUAUUUUUUUAUUUUAAGUUUUUUUCUUGUUAUUGAUGCAGCAAACACAUCUCCUCUGUUUUCUUGUUGUACUGUAUUAUAAAACAGAUGGAAAUAAAACAAUAGAUCAAUUGGUGGCCUAGGAUGUUUAAUCGGUCCAAAAAAGUAGUAAAGCAAUUUCUCAGUCUUUUUCUGUUUGUGAAAUUUUGUGCUCAUUCACUACAUUCGUUCAUAUCAUGUGCAUCUCUUGGGGGCUAAGCCCCCCCUGUCCUUAAAUCCUAGUGACGCCCCUGGUAUAAAUAAGUAUUUGUACAUUACUGGCAGUAAUAAAUGGUGGUUAGCACUGUUGCCUCAUAGCAACAAGGUCCUGAGUUCAAUGCCACCACCAGGGUCUUUCUGUGGGGAGUUUGCAUGGGUUCUCACCCACAGUACAAAGACAUACAGGCUGUAUCCCAAUUCAGGGUCUACUGUUACUGUUACUUUUUUUUUUUUCUU